UACGUAGGGUGCAAGCGUUGUCCGGAAUUAUUGGGCGUAAAGAGCUUGUAGGCGGUUUGUCGCGUCUGCUGUGAAAUUUCGGGGCUCAACCCCGAACUUGCAGUGGGUACGGACAGACUAGAGUGUGGUAGGGGAGACUGGAAUUCCUGGUGUAGCGGUGAAAUGCGCAGAUAUCAGGAGGAACACCGAUGGCGAAGGCAGGUCUCUGGGCCACUACUGACGCUGAGAAGCGAAAGCAUGGGGAGCAAACAGG
rnacentral:rRNA from 1 species